rnacentral:rRNA from 1 species
CCUACGGGAGGCAGCAGUAAGGAAUAUUGGACAAUGGUCGCAAGACUGAUCCAGCCAUGCCGCGUGCAGGAUGAAUGCCCUAUGGGUUGUAAACUGCUUUUAUACGGGAAUAAACCUGGGUACGUGUACCCAGCUGAAUGUACUGUAAGAAUAAGGGUCGGCUAACUUCGUGCCAGCAGCCGCGGUAAGACGAAGGACCCAAGCGUUAUCCGGAUUCAUUGGGUUUAAAGGGUGCGUAGGCGGGUUGAUAAGUCAGUGGUGAAAGCCCAACGCUUAACGUUGGAACUGCCAUUGAUACUGUCGAUCUUGAAUGUGUUUGAUGUGGGCGGAAUAUGACAUGUAGCGGUGAAAUGCUUAGAUAUGUCAUAGAACACCGAUUGCGAAGGCAGCUCACAAAGCCACUAUUGACGCUGAGGCACGAAAGCGUUGGGGGAGUACAACAGAGUAGUAUACCUACGUAGUCGACGACCGUAACGUUACGUAUACACUCGCUGUUGGUCG